rnacentral:rRNA from 1 species
GGGCUCUUGAACUCUAGAGAUAGAGCUUCCCCUUCGGGGGCAAAGUGACAGGUGGUGCAUGGUUGUCGUCAGCUCGUGUCGUGAGAUGUUGGGUUAAGUCCCGCAACGAGCGCAACCCUUAUUGUUAGUUGCCAUCAUUCAGUUGGGCACUCUAGCAAGACUGCCGGUGACAAACCGGAGGAAGGUGGGGAUGACGUCAAAUCAUCAUGCCCCUUAUGACCUGGGCUACACACGUGCUACAAUGGGAAGUACAACGAGUUGCGAAGUCGCGAGGCUAAGCUAAUCUCUUAAAGCUUCUCUCAGUUCGGAUUGCAGGCUGCAACUCGCCUGCAUGAAGCCGGAAUCGCUAGUAAUCGCGGAUCAGCACGCCGCGGUGAAUACGUUCCCGGGUCUUGUACACACCGA